UGGGUUACCUACAGCCACUUUGGCAGUACUCCAGACCUCUCAUAUUUCUGUACAGGUUACUCUGCUUUUCAAGAGGGUGCUGAGGGAGGCUUUCCCUGUGAUGGCAGAGGACAGAACCAGCCUCUCAGGCCAAUGGUGAUCGUGCAGCGGCAGCUGGCACUAACUGAACCCGUGGCUUUCCUGUAGGCUUGAGAGCCGGGAACAACCAGAUCCUGAUCACAGCACAGCCAGUGAUGCUUUUAGCGGCCUUGAGCAAGUCAUACAUUCUCUAAGUCUGUAAGGUCCCGAAAAUACCCACACUAAUUAAGGCUCAUAGGGAUGUUGGUGCAGUAAUCUUAGGCCGUGGGCAGCCACACAUAGAUAUCCAGCAACAGAAAGGAUGGGGACUAGGUACCUUUACUACCUCAGAAGCAGAGCAGAAACAGGGCAACAUACAAGAUUCACAAAACAAGAAGACAAGGAUGCCAAAUAAA